GACGAACGCUGGCGGCGUGCCUAACACAUGCAAGUCGAACGGAAAGGCCCUGCCUUUGUGGGGUGCUCGAGUGGCGAACGGGUGAGUAACACGUGAGUAACCUGCCCUUUACUUUGGGAUAACUUCAGGAAACUGGGGCUAAUACCGGAUAGGAGCACCUGCUGCAUGGUGGGGGUUGGAAAGUUUCGGCUGCUGGGGAAGGAGGUGCGGCUUAUCAGUUUGUUGGUGGGGUUGUGGUUUACCAAGGCUUCGACGGGUAGCCAGCCUGGGAGGGUGACCGGCCACAGAGGGACAGGGGAGCGACCAGGACUGCAACGGGAGGAAGCGGUGGAAGAUAGUGCAAGAAAGGCGGAGGGCGGAAAGAACGACGCCGGGUGCGAGAGGACGGUCGUCGGGGUGGAAACCGCUUGCGCGUGUGACGAAGAGUGAGUGACGGUAAUGGGUAAGGAAGCACCGGCUAACUACGUG
rnacentral:rRNA from 1 species